CCACGACACUCUGGAAAGCGCCCCGCGCAGGUGGGGCCACCGAAGGGGUAACUGCGGCAGUCCGCAGGAAAGCUCUCAGGUUCCGUGACAGAGGGGGCGAU
rnacentral:ncRNA from 1 species